GUGCAUCACUUGAUACACAGCCAAGUGAAGAAACUGAGAAGAAAACUUCCUUCCUCUGUGGACUUUGAAUCAAAACUCAUACCCAUAUGUUGUCAAUUUUUUUUAUCCUGUUCUAUUUUCUUUUUCAUUGAUUGACUGAUUGAAAAUAUCUCAUACAUUUCCAUAUAUUCUAUCGAAAAGAACAAUUUUUUUUGUUGUUAUAAAUGAACAUUAGUGGUUAUAGAAACUACUUACAUAUGCUUAUGACACCAUCUGCAAAUUUUAUUUGUAAUGUAUUUUAAAAUCUUUUUCUGAAAGAUCCAUUAGUUUCGUGAAUAUUUCUCCAUUUAUGAGGUUUAAGACUGCUUUAUUUUUGACAUAACCUGUAGAGUCAAAUCACACAGAAAUGUCAGUAAUCGGAUGGCUUGGCAGGAAACUCUUUUAUCUACAUAUAUAUAGGGAUGAAAAUGUAUUAUAAUGUAAGCCUUUGUAACACUUCAGUUGUUUCUUGAGUGUCAGCAGCUAGAUGUAUUUCAUUUGACAGUGUAAGUGUGGAACUUGAGACUUAAAAGUGAAUUAUACAUGCCUUUAUUCUACACUUUCUAUUUGUCUGUUUGUUUUCUGUACUUAUAUACAGUAACUGAAGGAUUGCUGGAAAACUGAGCUGAGAUAAUUUAAUUUCUAGUUCCUCCUACGCUUAGGAAUAUUACAGCAAAAGGACCAAGAUGUUAAGUCUUACUGAAUUUACUCAAAUUUAAAGGAAUUCAACUUUAAUAUUUGUUUGGUCUGAGAAGGACAUGCAUUUCCUAUUAGAAUUUUUCUCUAAGCACUCAUGUAUAGUAUUGCUGUGUUCGUUGCAGUUGAUUCUGAAUUCAUUGCUUGUCUUUUAGCCUUCUUUUAUCCAUUAGUUGAUGAAAACUGAAGGAUGUCAGGAUUCUGGCAUCGCUGCUGUACUUUUCUUCUGAAUGCAACUGUAUGGAAUGGAGGAAGGAGUGCUGAUAUUGCAAGAAAAUUCCCUAAUGUUUUCAUAGCUUAUACAAAAUGUGAUCUUCCUUUUGGCAGACUUCACUUGGUUGAAUCCCUACCAAUGCAGAAGGUGAAUAAGAAUACCUGGACUCAAUCUGUAAUUCAAUUCUGGAUCCUAUUUCCUAGUUUCACCUGUGCAUGUAUGCUUCUGUCUCUGUGUUUAUGAAUAAUAUCUAUCAGUUCUCUCCAUCAUCCUGGUUGAGAGAGUGAGUGAGUGGGCAGCUGGGUGGAGGGCUUACCUGUCUGCCAGGGACAACCCAACCACAUGGAAGAAGAAACUAUAAGAAUGCAGUAUAAAUGGUUAAAAGCCUUUUAUUUCUGUUUUCUGGUAUUAUUUCAGUUGUUUCUGUGAAUUUGCUUACUGUGCUUUUCUGUACCUUAAGGUUGUUGGCUGGGCUUACUGUUGUCUUUAUAAAACUUACGUUGUACCACACAAAGAUAAACAGAAGUAGAACAAA